CUGUGGCGCCCCGAGGCCCUAUCGGUGCUCCACAGGAGAGCACGAGAAGCACCAGGGCGGCCGGGCCUCCCGCCACCGGCGACUGGUGGGACAAGUGGAGGAUUGUACUCACCCAAAAGAGGAAGACUGAUACCCCGACCGGGAAGAAGUUUCUGUUCUUUUUGCUCCCCCUUCCCUUUCCCCAACAUUUAGUACAAAUAAAUGCGUUUUCUGUUAACUGA